rnacentral:rRNA from 1 species
UACAGAGGGUGCAAGCGUUAAUCGGAAUUACUGGGCGUAAAGCGCGCGUAGGUGGUUUGUUAAGUUGGAUGUGAAAGCCCCGGGCUCAACCUGGGAACUGCAUCCAAAACUGGCAAGCUAGAGUACGGUAGAGGGUGGUGGAAUUUCCUGUGUAGCGGUGAAAUGCGUAGAUAUAGGAAGGAACACCAGUGGCGAAGGCGACCACCUGGACUGAUACUGACACUGAGGUGCGAAAGUGUGGGGAGCGAACAGG